AGUGAACGCUGGCGGUAGGCCUAACACAUGCAAGUCGAACGGCAGCACAGUAAGAGCUUGCUCUUACGGGUGGCGAGUGGCGGACGGGUGAGGAAUACAUCGGAAUCUACUUUUUCGUGGGGGAUAACGUAGGGAAACUUACGCUAAUACCGCAUACGACCUACGGGUGAAAGCAGGGGAUCUUCGGACCUUGCGCGAUUGAAUGAGCCGAUGUCGGAUUAGCUAGUUGGCGGGGUAAAGGCCCACCAAGGCGACGAUCCGUAGCUGGUCUGAGAGGAUGAUCAGCCACACUUGAACUGAGACACGGUCCAGACUCCUACGGGAGGCAGCGGUGGGGAAUAUUGGACAAUGGGCGCAAGCCUGAUCCAGCCAUACCGCGUGGGUGAAGAAGGCCUUCGGGUUGUAAAGCCCUUUUGUUGGGAAAGAAAAGCAGCAGGUUAAUACCCCGCUGUUCUGACGGUACCCAAAGAAUAAGCACCGGCUAACUUCGUG
rnacentral:rRNA from 1 species